UAAACUCCAAUUUGUAUGGAGGCGAAACGUUUACCUACGUUUGCCGCUAUGGGCGCUGUUUCAACUACAUACGAAUUCGAGUUA
rnacentral:pre_miRNA from 1 species